rnacentral:rRNA from 1 species
GGCGUGUGACUGCGUACCUUUUGUAUAAUGGGUCAGCGACUUAUAUUCUGUAGCAAGGUUAACCGAAUAGGGGAGCCGAAGGGAAACCGAGUCUUAACUGGGCGUUAAGUUGCAGGGUAUAGACCCGAAACCCGGUGAUCUAGCCAUGGGCAGGUUGAAGGUUGGGUAACACUAACUGGAGGACCGAACCGACUAAUGUUGAAAAAUUAGCGGAUGACUUGUGGCUGGGGGUGAAAGGCCAAUCAAACCGGGAGAUAGCUGGUUCUCCCCGAAAGCU